rnacentral:rRNA from 1 species
GUUUCCCUACGGGGGGCAGCAGUGGGGGAUAUUGCACAAUGGGGGGAACCCUGAUGCAGCGACGCCGCGUGGGUGAAGAAGCGCCUCGGUACGUAAAGCUCUAUCAGCAGGGAAGAAAAAAAGUCUUUGGCUUUGGACGGUACCUGACUAAGAAGCCCCGGCUAACUACGUGCCAGCAGCCGCGGUAAUACGUAGGGGGCAAGCGUUAUCCGGAUUUACUGGGUGUAAAGGGAGCGUAGACGGCAGCGCAAGUCUGGAGUGAAAUGCCGGGGCUCAACCCCGGAACUGCUUUGGAAACUGUGCAG